GUCAGGACACAGCAUGGCCAUGAGGGCCCCUGCUCAGCUCUUGGGGCUCCUGCUUCUCUGCCUCUCGGGUGCCAGAUGUGACAUCCAGAUGACUCAAUCUCCAUCCUCCCUAUCUAAAUCUGUAGGAGACAGAGUCACCAUCACUUGCUGGGCAAGUCAGGGCAUUA